rnacentral:rRNA from 1 species
GACGAGUCUCACGAACGUUAUUCGGAAUUACUGGGCGUAAAGGGCGCGUAGGCGGUCCUUCAAGUCAGGCGUGAAAGCCCCGGGCUCAACCUGGGAACCGCGCUUGAGACUGGCGGGCUAGAGUUCGGGAGAGGAUGGUGGAAUUCCCAGUGUAGAGGUGAAAUUCGUAGAUAUUGGGAAGAACACCGAUGGCGAAGGCAGCCAUCUGGACCGACACUGACGCUGAGGCGCGAAAGCGUGGGGAGCAAACAGG